UCCUCGUUAGUAUAGUGGACAGUAUCUCCGCCUGUCACGCGGAAGACCGGGUUCGAUUCCCCGGACGGGGAG
rnacentral:tRNA from 1 species